rnacentral:rRNA from 1 species
UACAGAGGUCUCAAGCGUUGUUCGGAUUCAUUGGGCGUAAAGAGCGUGUAGGCGGCCCGGUAAGUCCGCUGUAAAAGUCAAAGGCUCAACCUUUUGAAUGUCAGUGGAUACUGCCGGGCUAGAGUCCGGAAGAGGCGAGUGGAACUCCUGGUGUAGCGGUGGAAUGCGCAGAUAUCAGGAAGAACACCAACGGCGAAGGCAGCUCGCUGGGACGGUACUGACGCUGAGACGCGAAAGCGUGGGGAGCGAACAGGAUU